CUCCACUCCGUAGAAGCGGCAGGGAAGGGGUUAAAAGUUCCUCACAGGCCGCCCCGGGCAGCCCCAUUUGCAAUGGCUUGCUUCUUUCUUUCUUUUUUAUUUUAUCCUUAAACCGCCGCUUUUCCCUCCGAGGCAGCUCCUUUGAACCUAAGCAGAUUAUACUGGAAGCGCAUGAAGGACACCGCGAGCUCGCCCGCGUGUUUUUUUUUUUUUCUUUCCCGAGGAGGAGAUUUGGCUCCAAAAUAGGGCGCUAAGCCGCCUUUCAGCCUCGCGCGUAUAAUUUUAUUAACGGAGGGACCGGCGCGAGCGCGCCAGGCGGCCUCGGCCCGGGCAAGCCUCCCCGGCAGGAAAGCGAAGCAAGCGGCCGGAAAGCCCCCCAAAGCCCGGUCGUCGUCGUCGCCGGCGCCGCGAACCUGGAAAAAGCCUGAGGAGCCAUUAAAGGAAGGAAGCGCUUUUUAAAAUCAGGGCCCAAGCUCUUUCUUGGUUUCCAUGACAGUUAUUAGGUAACAGAAAAAAAAAUAUUGAACUGUCUCCCACAAUGCUCCGGAGAAAGAAAGGGGGUGGGGGGAAGAGGUUGCUCCAGUGACAAAGCAGAGGAAUCCUGACUCGCGGCAAUUCGACUCAGGAGAGAAUUUGAAAAACUCUCUGGAUUAUGAUGUCAAUUUUUGGGUGCCCGCUCCUCGGCGCUCUGUUUAGGCUGGUGGGCGGUAGUGGUGCCUUUUAUUUCUGAAGGAAGAGCCUGCGCCGCUCUUGCUUACCUCGGAGCACACACACCACAAGCACGCGCUCGCAGACACACACACGCACACACACACCUAUCUCUGGCAUCCCCCGGAUAUGAACAAUUAUUCAGGUGGGCUCUUCACGGGGAGCGAAGCUCGAAGGCGGCCAAUCAGGCGGUGGCAACCUGCAGCCCUGUCAGGAUGCCGCUCCAGCGGAUCUCGGUAGUCCCAGCGCGGGAGACGGCCAGCAAUGGGAGAAGUUCGAUGGGCAGAAACAAAGAGAAGAACAAGGAAGUCGAGGAAUUCAGAAAUUGAAAAGGGAUAAGUGGAAGGAGAAAAUGUUGGGCUGGUGCCAAGCAAUAGCUCGUAAUCCUCACAGAUUCCCAAACAACACAAGAACCCCUGAGGUCACAGUUGAUGCUCCACAAAUCUCUGCCUUGAAUGAAAAAUCGCCAGGCCGCUCAACAAGUCGGUCGAGUAACAUUUCAAAGGUAAG